CCGCAAUUCCCGUCACGGAGUGCGUCCUCUAGCGCGGGGCGGAAGACCCGCGAAGUGUUCAAGCGGCCGCAGAGCGGCCCAGAGUUCGCAGGUCUGGGGCUCUCUUCCCAGAGAGCUCGUAGGGGAGGACAGUCAAGGGACUCAAGCGUCUCUCUUGACUCCCCUUCUCUCGCUGUGCAGUGGCGGCGCCGAGGGGUCGACGCUCAGGGCUAAUCUCUAUGAGUCACCCUCGAGGCCCCGGGUAAUAUUGGGUGGAUCACAAGAACUAAUCUUUCAUGAUUUGGAAACCGGAAGGAAAGAAGCACUUUUGUAGCUGACUUACCUCAAUGACAUGACCAGUGUCUGAGCCUACAACUGCGCUAUCUUCCCUGGAUUUUUCUUCACCUUUUCCUUACUCAUGAGCCAGAGAGACACUUAUAAUGCAGUAGUUGAAAACCUGCAAAUUGGAGUCAUGCUGUUUGGAUUUGAGGACCAGCUCUGCCUACAUUGGCUGUGGGGUCUUGAACAAGUCACUUAACUUCCCUGUCCAUCAAUGUUCUUAUCUGCAAAACAAAAUAAUGACAGUGUCUGGUAAUGCUGUUGGAGGAAAAAAUAAAAUAGUGCCU
rnacentral:lncRNA from 10 species